UUCUGCGCUUCCGGGGCCCAGGCGCUGCGCGCUCGCCACACCCUCUUCAUCUGCAUAGGGUGCCGCCCCCGCCCGCCCUGCGGACCGAGACUGGCUGAGCGGCGCGGCGAGCCAAGAAGUCCGUAGAGCGCGAGGCCGGUAGCUAUUUGUACGUACAUGUAUAUGUCCGUGUAUUUGUACAUAUACUUAACUUAGAGACGGUCUUUCGCGCCUAAGCCUCUCUAUUCUUUUUUCCUCAACGGGAAGACCCUGAAAAUGCCUCAAGAGUUGUAAGUGGCCCUAAAAACUGAAUCACGAGUAAAAUCACGCAAGUGCAGAAAGUCGCCAAACAUAAAAUUCUCUGAUUCAGCGCGUCCUUAUAGCUUAAUAAUGGGGCUCCAGAGGUUCCUCACGACCUCCCGCUUAAACAGUGUAUCGGUAUAAAGCUAGACCGUUUUUUUUAAUCAAGAAACACUGUCUCGGUGUGAACUAUUGAGCCCACUCGUCCAUGCAAAUCAGUCUCCGCGAGUGAGGGGAAGGGCUUGCUAACUGUGUUUCGAUUCUCGAAACCUCGGGAAGUGCCUGGGAGCUCCGGGCAAGCCCGAGGAGACGCGGGGGCGGAGCCGCGAGGUUGCGUCCAACUCGUGCGCACGAGCCGCUCCGGGCGGCCGGGAGCGCGGCGUGGGCCAGCGCGCGUCACCGAGCGGACGACCCGGCGGGUCGGGCGGCUGGGCGGGCGAGCGGCCAAAAGCCGAGGACGGCGCGGGCCCGGGGUGCAGCGCGGAGAGCGCGCCGCCGCUGUGUCGCGCGAAGAGCUGCUGCGCGCGCCCGGAAGCACCGCGGCGCGUUCUCCCGCGGACAGAGGAAGCGAAGCGCGUUCGUCCCAAGCUAAGGAAUAUCCUUCCUACUACAUUGGAUAUAUCUUCAAAACUCUGCUCAAAAAUUACUUCAUAUGUGAAGCUGUCCAUUGAUGAGGCUACUUGGCUGCAUGUGUCUAAUUCUAUUUAGGAAUCAUCAGGAAAAGCCAGUAACAUCAGUGGUGUCCAUUGAAUGGCUCAGAUUUGAGAAAACCCAGGCUUCUGGAAGCAGUGAUAGAGCAGCUGCAGCUAGAGGCUCCCACAUGGUGGCCUGGAGAAUAUGGUAUUUCCAUCCACAAACCAAGCACCAGGAGAGGCAAGAAGAAUCUUCAGUUUGAAAAGUUCAGAAGAAAUGAUAAGAGAGAACCAAAACCAAGAUAAGUAUGCAGAGUAUAACAGUAUAAUUGUAAAAGAACUUAAGUUUCAUAGUCUGGAAAAAAAUACAUAUGGAUAUUUCAGGGGGAGGGAGACUGGGGGAUGUAAACAAAUUCUCAGAAUUGAAUCUUUGAGGAAUCAGAGGAAUCAGAAGAUGAACCACUGUGAUUCUUAUUUCCAAAGAGGAGAGACAGAUUUUACAAAACACAAACCAAAAGAUUUGAUAUAUGUUUUAGAAAAAAUUCUUGACUGAACUAUUAAAAGCUGGGCUUGUAAUACAUGAAAACAAAGUGGGGAUAAUGAAGAAUAAGUCAUCCCAGAUUAAACUAAUUGUUGGUAGAGUUACUAAAUUGGCGAGAAGGAAUGAUAUAAACGUGGCAUGCCAUGAUUGCAGCAAGAUGUUAGACAAUGUCUUUUAUAAUAUUUUUCUUGCACUUCAAGACAAAUUAUAAAUUGGAUUAAAGGAGUUAGUUGAGUUUAAAAUGGGCUGAACAACUGCAGUAAGAAAAAAAGUCAGUGUUGACCAAAAGGUAGUUCCAAGAAGGUCUUCUGUAUCUCAUUCAAUGAUUUACUAGUGGUUUGAGUAAAAAUUCUCAGCAACUCUGAAAAUACUUAAGUUGGGACAGAUAACAAUUACCAACAUGAUAGAAACAGGACAUAAAAGAGCUCAAUCGCUGAGAACAAACUGAGGGUUGAUGGGGGGUGGGGGAGAGGGGAAAGUGGGUGAUGGGCAUUGAGGAGGGCACCUGUUGGGAUGAGCACUGGGUAUUGUAUGGAAACCAAUUUGACAAUAAAUUUCAUUAAAAAAAAAAAGCUCAAUCGGCUUACGUAAUGAGCCAAAUCAAACAAAAAUGAAACUUAGAAGAAAGAAAGAAAGAGCUUUUCACAUGGAUUAGAAGUGCCAGAACAUUGUUACGAGAGAAGGGGACAAGAGAGACAGAGUAGGGAAUAAAAAGCAGAGAGCUUUGGUGAAAGGACAUGUAUUAGGCUUCCUAGGACCUUCAUAACAAAGUACCAAAAACUGGGUAACUUGAAACAACAGAAAUGUGUUGUCUCACAGUCCUGGAAGCCAGAAGUCCAAAAUUAAGGUGUCAGCAGGGCCAAGCUCUCACUGAUGACUCUGAGGAAGAAGUCUUCCUUGCCUCUUCUAGCUUCUGGUGUUUGCCAAAAAUCCUUGGCAUUCCUUGGCUUGCAGACAUAUCACUCCAGUCACAUGACCAUCUUCUCCUUGGUUCUUCACGUCAUCUUCCCUCUGUGCGUGUCUGUCUCCGUGUCCUAAUUUCCCCUUUUCACAAGGACACCAGUCGCAUUGGAUUAGGGCCCACCCUAAUGACCUCAUUUUAUUUAAUUACCUCUGUAAAACCCCAAUUCCAAACAAGGUCACACUCUGAGAUACUGGGAGUUGGGACUUCAACAUACCUUUUGUAGGGGGACGCAAUUCAGCCCAUAACAAGCCACUCAGUGUGAAUGAACAGUAAUGUGCCCAGCACGAAAGCACAACUGCAAAGAUCAGGAUGAAAGAGAGAGCUCUGCCUUCCUGGUCAGGGCUCACCUGCAGAACUGCAGUCGGUUCUGGGCCUUUAACAGACGGUCAGGAUGAUGAGAGAACUUAAAACCAAAUUACUGGACCAUAGUUUGGAGGAAAUGGGAAUGUCUAGCCUGAGGAAGAACAGGCACAGGGGGAAAUGAAAGCUGCUUUCAAAUACAUGAUCAGUGGCUGAAAGUAGAACUGGAGUUGUUUUUUAUGGCUCUGAAGUCAGAAUUAUAUUACUGAGAGGGAUUGAUUCAACUGAAUGAAAAGAAGAUUCUAAAAGGUAGUAUGUCCAGAGGCAGUUAGGAUUUCAUAGAAAUACUGAAUUCCCUAUCUUUGGAUGUCUUCAAGCAAAGGCUUAACACGGAAGGAGGGUGGUUUAAAAGGAAUGAUGGCACUGGAAAUUAGCUUGGAUCACGAGUCUUCUAACUUUGAUAUGCAAGAAUUCUACGAAAGAAGUUAUUCUUUUAACUAAAGAAUAUUAAUACUCAAGUUGCCCAUAAUAUCCUAAGAGGAAAUAGAAUGUGCUAACCAAAAUUUAGGAUUAUCUUCUAUUAAAUAAAAUGUGGAGGAAAGAAAAAUGACAGGGAUAACCUAUUUUAUCUGUACAAAUAAAAAAUAGUUGAUCUAAGUAAACAAAAUAGGCUCAAGAAGAAUAUAGAAAAAGUUGGGGUUCCUGGGUGGCUCAGUUGGUUGGGCGACUGACUUCGGCUCAGGUCAUGAUCUCAGUUUGUGAGUUAGAGCCCUGCAUCGGUCUCUGUGCUGACAGCUCGAAGCCUAGAGCCUGCUUCAGAUUCUGUGUCUCCCCCUCUCUCUACCCCUCGCCUGCUCACGCUGUAUGUCUUCUCUCAAUAAUGAAUAAAUGUUAAAAAAUUAAAAAAAAAAAAAGAAUGUAGAAAAAGCACAAAAUCAAAUAAGCAAAAGCAGAACCUUACCCAAGUCACAGGAAUUUUAAAAUAAAAGUAGUAUUUCAAUUUUUAUGGAAGUAAUAUGAAAGAUGAAAUCUAAAAUAGGAAAUAGAAAAUUCAAUAAGGACCAACAAUUUUCUUCUCCCAAUAUCCAGGAGCAUAGACAAAACAGGAAGAAUAGAUACUAUCUGGUGAAGUGAAUUGGUUUAUGUGAAGAGGUUUGGAAGGAGGAAGAGAUCAGUGAAGAUGAGCUAAUAGAAGGACGUCACGUGGGCAGUGGAAAGGGCACCAGGUUUGAAAAUAAGUCUGAAGACCAGCUGGUCUUGGCUCAGCCACCAACCAGCUGCACAAAGUCACACAAAACAGUUCUCUGCUUCUCAGUUUGUUCUGUUAUUAAAAAACAAGCAAAAAAAGAAUCAGAUGAUGUUUUAACAAUUCCAUCCAGCUGUAAAAUUGUGACUCUGAUAAAUAUACACAGGUAGGGAGUGAGGAAAUAUUUUAACACAAUAAAAGCAUAGGAACAUACAACUUGAAGAGACCAUUAAGUAAGAAACAGCCAAUGUAACUGCGUAAAGGAUUGUAAUUAAAAGCAAUGGAUUGAAACAAUAAUAAUAGAUACUGUAAAUGGGGAUGUGCUAAUAAGCCAAAUGUCUACAUACAAAGACUGUUUGAGUUUUAAGAAAAAUAAAAGGGAAAUCAUUAAGUUAAGUAAUUAGCACAUUAAUUAUUACACAUGAAGUGUUAGCUUUGUAUUACCAAUGAACUGAGUACCUUAUAUAUAAUUAACAAAUAUUUCUGUAAACUCACUCAUUCCCAGUACUUUGUUUUGUAUGAUCCAAGAUAUAAUAUACCCAUAAACUGGAGGCUAGGUGUUCAGCUUCCAAGUCUAAUAAUGUCAAUUCUAGGCAACAUAAUUUAGAAUUAAGUUCUCAGGUACUUUUUAUGCAGUGGCAUUUUCAUAAAAAUUCUCCACCACAUUUAGCAAAAUUUAAUGAUUACUAUAAACCUUGCAGAUGAUUUUUGAAUCUGAAGAAAGACAUAAAUUAACUAACGUUUUUUUGUAACACAGGAUAAUACAUGCAAUAAAACAAGAAGACUCAACAUACAAAGAAGGUUUAAAUUGGCAGUGAUGCCUUUGGAUUUUGAAGGAUAAGUAGGAGUUUUGUCAAAGCUAAAAUGGAGAAGCAUUCCAAACAAUGUUUAAAGGCAUGGAAGCAAGAAACAAAAUGAAAGAUUUGGGAAAUUAUAAUUGGUUAACGUAUUUCUGAAACAAAGUGCUAGGAGUAGACAAUAGCAAGAGGUGAAACAGAACGAGAAAAUUAGGUCACAAAGGCCUUCCUGGGUCACUCUAGUAGCAAAUGCCUUUCUUAAGGGCAACAAAAGGCCACUGAAGGGUUUUGAGCAUAUAGUGAUAGAUGCAAUUGGUAUUACAAGAAGAUGAUUCUGGCUGCAGAGUGGAGAGGGAGAUAUGAGCUGAAGAAGAAGUGAGAGAGGCAGGGAAAGGAACUAACUUAAAGCCAUAGCAAGGAGUUGGGGAAAAGAGGUUUUUGAAGUGAAAUUGGUGGGAUUUGGGAAACCAAUGAGACAUUUCAGAACUGUUACAGAGCUAGUCACAGAGAGGGACCACAGAAGGAAAACCAGGUUUGGGGGUGGGAGGUCCAGUUUGGACCAUAUCAAGUUUGAGAUGCUCAGAAGACAAGUACAUGCUCCUCUCUAUCACCUUUUUCUUUUCUAACCCCUGAACAUUGACAAAGUCUGUUUUUAGAGAAUAUGGAAACCUAAUUAUCUGAUUUAUUUUAUUAAUGAAAUCUCUUUAAGAAAAUAAAAGAGAACUAUGUUGGGGCACCUGGGUGGCUCAGUCAGUUAAGUGUCCAACUUCAGUUCAGGUCAUGGUCUCAUGGUUUGUGAGUUUGAGACCUGUAUCAAGAGCUCUGCUGUCAGUACAGAGCCUGCUUCAGAUCCUCUGUCCCUGUGUCUCUCUGCCCCCCUCUCAAAAAUAAAAUAAACAUUAAAAAAAUCCUUAAAGAAAAGAGAGAAUUAUGUUUUCCCCCAGAGUAAAAUGAAGUGCCACAUAAUGUUCUAAGGAAUGACAGUGUCUAAAAAAUCUGUCCUAAUGCUAUCAAAGACCAGCUAAUCAAAUGCUCUGUCAAUAAAAAGUAAUUGUAUAUGCCAUAUCUAGAUCAUGAAAAUUUAAAGAAUAGGAAUGCAAAAGAUAUGCUUAAGAGCAAAACUGAACAGAACCUCAUCUUCCAGGUUUCAAAGACUCUUCAAGUAAAUGUGCUCUUCUGCACCUUACUUAAAACUGUGCUUAAUGUGUGGAAAUGUUUUUUGCCUUUGCUGGAGAGCCAAGUCAACUAUCCCGCUCUGUGUAAUGGUCUGCACUUGGUUUGGAUAGAAGAAUCUGAGGGGCGACAGCAUCUGUAAAAAGGAAGGGGACAGUGGGCCAAGUUUGCAUUCUCCUUUGGCAACAUAGGGCCAGACUCAUAAGAAUGUGGUCAAGACAUAAUGUUACAUUUAACUGAUAUUUAACAUGCUGUAGUUGGGAAGGCCACAGAGUUGCUGCAGUGUGUGUCAAUAAGCCCUAUGAGAAAAACAGACUGUGCAAAUGUUAUUUCCAAAAGUCACACACUGGCAGGCUGACAGACACUAACACAUUUGGGUAGCAAUAGCCAAUCCAAAGUUUCCUUGCAUAAUUAGUAGAUUUGGUACUCUUGAAAAAGGACAUUUUCCAUGAAGAACUUGCUUUGAAGGCAGACUUUCACUGCCAGGUCUCCUGGGAGAAUCAUUUUUUCCAGCUCUCACUUUUGCUAUCUCUGACUCAUCUCUCAAAGUUUAAGGGAAAACAUUCUUAUGGGGGGAACAUGUGGGGGUCAAGAUAGAACUUUUUGAGUAUCUGCAAAUGUCCACUAUUAUCAGAGCUUCACAUAAGUUUGCUCCAGUGUGGUGACCCCAGCUCUGGGCUCCAUCUUGGAGAUGGAGAGAACAGGUGAGCCAUAGGGACAGCUUGACAUGCAGCACCAAUGGUACACCAAUGUUGCUUCAUAUGUUGUGCCUAAGAUCCACAAAUCCUGUCGUUCUUGGGAGCAAGUAAUGAUUUACUCUUGAAAGAGGAAGUAGGGAUACAGUCUGGACAAUGUGGGGUGGCCAGUCAAGAGGAAGAGGAAGAAGGGACAAUUAUCCAUACACUUCAAGAAAUGACUAGAAAACACCAGGGCACCUGAGUGGCUUGGUCGGUUAAGGAUCUGAUUUCAGCUCAGGUCAUGAUCUCACAGUUUGUGAGUUCAAGCCCCGCAUUGGGUUCUGUGCUGACAGCUUGGAGCAGGCCUGGAGCCUGCUUCUGAUUCUGUGACUCCCUCUCUCUCUCUGCCCCUCCACUGCUCGUGCCCUCUCUCUCUCUCUCUCUCUCUCUGUCUCUC